ensembl:lncRNA uncharacterized LOC107199468
CCCGUAACUCCCCGAUUUCCUUCCUCCGCCCAGGUAAGGUCCACGGCUCCCUCGCCCGCGCCGGCAAAGUGAGGGGCCAGACCCCCAAGGUGGCCAAGCAGGAGAAGAAGAAGAAGAAGACGGGGCGGGCCAAGCGGCGCAUGCAGUACAACCGGCGCUUCGUCAACGUCGUGCCCACCUUCGGCAAGAAGAAGGGCCCCAACGCCAACUCCUGAACCCCAAUAAAGGAAUUUGGGUCCAAUUCCCAGCAUUUUGGGGCUCUCUCAGCUUUUCUUGGCGCUCUCCUUGCGUUCUUCACGUUUCUUUUAAGUUGUUUAUGGAAUUUCCAAAGUGUUUUGGGGGUGAAACCGGCCGAGGGGGGUAAUCGGGGUCCCCAAGAGCUGACGGGAGGUUAAUUAGAGGGAAGCGUUAAUUUGCGGAGUGCUAAUGAGGAGACGCUGAGGAGAAUGAGUCUCUGUGGGGGAGGCGGAAAGAGCCGAGCGCUGCCGGAAAUGCCCGAGUGCAGCGGGGGCGGGGCUGAGGGAUCGGAGAAUGACCGGAAAUCCCCGAGUUGUGCCGAGGGACGCGGCGGACGGAGCCGAACGGUGACGGAAAUACCCGAAUUGUGCCGAGGGGCUCGGAGAGAGCCUGAAACACCCAGCGAGCGGAAGAGGCAGCUGAAAAGCGAUCAAGAGAUUUAAUUGAUCGCUCCGAACGCUUCCGAGCGGUGCCGGAAACUGCCGAGACUGAGGGGAGCCGAAGCACCCCCAAAACCCCCCGGGGGUUCCCCCUCACGGCCUCACCCGCCAGGGGGCGCCUCACACCCCUCGGCGUCUUUUCCCGCCUUUUCCGCCUCCCUCAGCGCUCGCGCCCCGCCCCCUUCCCGGCAUGCCCUGCGCGCUAUUUAAGGCCCCGUGAGGGGGCAAAGCGGCCAUUUUGUCCCAGCAGCGAGAGUGAGAGUAUUCAUUCCCGAAAAACGAUGCUUCUCUCGGAGCAUGGAAUCCUCACCCGCGGGUUCCCCGUGGCCCCUCCCCAGGAUUCAAUCCCCUUCUGCCCCCCGGGGGUCCCGGAUGGGGUGAGCCCCUUCCCCCGUGGGGCAGAGCCGGGGGGCCCGAGGCCGGCUCGGGACUUCGGGGGGCACGAGGUGACGUCAACCAUCAACACACCUGGAGCCAGGUGCCGCAGGUGUCGGGGGGCUCAGCUCUUGGAUCAUCGAUGCAAAUCAAUUUUUCAUCAAUGCAAAUAAAAAUCGUUAUUUUUGUUAAAAACCUUGAGUUUGUUUUUAUUUGGGGAGGGGGGAACCCCAGAUGGGGUCGGGGUGGGGGGUCCCAUUCCCCUGGAGGGGCUCAGUGUCCCUGCCCGGGGACAAAACCCAGCCCAGGACCCCAAAUUUUGGGUUAAAAAACCCAAUUUUGGAACCUUUGAAGGAUUUUGGUCCUGCCCAGAUCACCCCAAAAUUCCCCAAACAGAGAGAAACGCCCCAAUAUCCCCCCAAACCCGCAAUGCGGCCGUGGAUAUGCAAAUUUAUGUUUAAUUAGGCUAAUCAAGCACUGCGAAAUAAUACUAUUUAAUGAUUAUUUAAUGAUGUAAUUCUUUAAUAAGCGCGGUUAUGCUAAUGAGAUCGGGUAUCGUGUUUUAAGGGGCGUGGCGAAUGCAAAUUAAGGGCUCGAUCAUCCAAUCAGGAGCGGACAGCUGAGGGGCGUGGCUUCAAAACGCCGUGCCGUGAGAGGGGCGGAGUUAUGUAGAUUAAAUAGGCGGUGUUAUGCAAAUCAGAGACGCUGGGACACACCCACAGCCCGCGAAAAUGCAUGACGGGAGCAGAAUUGGGGCAGAAUUCGGGGGUUUCGGGGCUCGGCGCGGGCGGAGCGCGGGAGCGAAGCGCGGAGCGGCUGCGGAAAAGCUCCCGGAGCGGCUCGGGGCAGCUGCGGGGGCGGCGCGGGGGUGACCGUGAGGUGCGGGCGGGCCGAGCGGGGCCGGCUGCGGGGAGCGGAGCGAGCCCGGCAUCGCUUCUCGGCCUUUUGGCUAAGAUCAAGUGUAGUAUCUGUUCUUAUCAGUUUAAUAUCUGAUACGUCCUCGAUGAGAGGACUUCAUAUUAAACGGAUUUUUGGGCUCGGGAGUUGGACCCGGAG